rnacentral:rRNA from 1 species
CGCUGGCGGCAGGCUUAACACAUGCAAGUCGAACGCCCCGCAAGGGGAGUGGCAGACGGGUGAGUAACGCGUGGGAAUCUACCGUACCCUACGGAAUAACGCAUGGAAACGUGUGCUAAUACCGUAUACGCCCUACGGGGGAAAGAUUUAUCGGGGUAUGAUGAGCCCGCGUUGGAUUAGCUAGUUGGUGGGGUAAAGGCCUACCAAGGCGACGAUCCAUAGCUGGUCUGAGAGGAUGAUCAGCCACAUUGGGACUGAGACACGGCCCAAACUCCUACGGGAGGCAGCAGUGGGGAAUAUUGGACAAUGGGCGCAAGCCUGAUCCAGCCGCCGCGGUAAUACAAGCCGAUUUCCCAGCACACUA